UACGUAGGGUGCAAGCGUUAAUCGGAUUUACUGGGCGUAAAGCGUGCGCAGGCGGUUAUGCAAGACAGAGGUGAAAUCCCCGGGCUCAACCUGGGAACUGCCUUUGUGACUGCAUAGCUAGAGUACGGCAGAGGGGGAUGGAAUUCCGCGUGUAGCAGUGAAAUGCGUAGAUAUGCGGAGGAACACCGAUGGCGAAGGCAAUCCCCUGGGCCUGUACUGACGCUCAUGCACGAAAGCGUGGGGAGCAAACAGG
rnacentral:rRNA from 1 species